rnacentral:rRNA from 1 species
GACGAACGCUGGCGGCGUGCUUAACACAUGCAAGUCGAACGGAAAGGCCCCUUUGGGGGUACUCGAGUGGCGAACGGGUGAGUAACACGUGAGUAACCUGCCCUUGACUUCGGGAUAACUUCAGGAAACUGGGGCUAAUACCGGAUAGGAAUCCUUGCUGCAUGGUGGGGGUUGGAAAGCUUCGGCGGUUUUGGAUGGACUCGCGGCUUAUCAGCUUGUUGGUGGGGUAGUGGCUUACCAAGGCUUUGACGGGUAGCCGGCCUGAGAGGGCGACCGGCCACAUUGGGACUGAGAUACGGCCCAGACUCCUACGGGAGGCAGCAGUGGGGAAUAUUGCACAAUGGGCGGAAGCCUGAUGCAGCAACGCCGCGUGCGGGAUGACGGCCUUCGGGUUGUAAACCGCUUUCAGCAGGGGCGAAGCUUGUGGUGACGGUACCGGCAGAAGAAGCACCGGCGAACUACGU